AUUCUGAAAUGCUCAGUUGUCAUGAAGACGGUAAAAAGUGACUUUCUUUGUAACAUUUAGCCGGUAAAAAGUGACUAAAUUUUGGGCAGUUGAAUAGUAUCUUACCGACUAAAAUUUUUUACAAGAAUUUAGAAGUGAACAUUUGACAUAAUCAUGUUCUCUUACAAUAACCUAAAAACUAAGUUAGUCUAAAUCCGCAUCAACUCACGUACAAUAGAAACCAGUCUUUCUAAAACAAAUGUGACAUAACAACUCCCUUGAGUAAUGCCGAAUUGUAAAAUGUUACGUUUUUAAAAAAUAUAGCAGUAUAAAAAAAUAUGAUAGAUGCGAAUGGACGCAUAAAAAUAUUUCUUUUCAUCCGAUGUAUUAAUUGAAACUUUCCAGAUGACAGUUUAAGGAGUUUGGGCAAACAAAGUCUUUAUGAUCAUUUUAUUUAAAAGAAGACUAAACAUGCGAUAACUGCAUAAAAAGAAUAAUCAAGCGAGAUCUACAUUUAAUGGAAUGCAAGGAGCCUUGGGGAGCGCAAUCUUUCAUACCAUGACUUAAGCUUGGCUUCGGACGAAGUGCACAUUUGUGAAGAGACAUAUACGCGACAAAUAUCUGGGGUAAGUUUCCUUUACUGAAUAUAAAAAAAA